UACGAAGGGGGCUAGCGUUGCUCGGAAUCACUGGGCGUAAAGGGUGCGUAGGCGGGUCUUUAAGUCAGGGGUGAAAUCCUGGAGCUCAACUCCAGAACUGCCUUUGAUACUGAAGAUCUUGAGUUCGGGAGAGGUGAGUGGAACUGCGAGUGUAGAGGUGAAAUUCGUAGAUAUUCGCAAGAACACCGGUGGCGAAGGCGGCCAACUGGACGAAUACUGACGCUGAGACACGAAAGCGUGGGGAGCAAACAGG
rnacentral:rRNA from 1 species